AGCGAACGCUGGCGGCAGGCCUAACACAUGCAAGUCGAACGAACUCUUCGGAGUUAGUGGCGGACGGGUGAGUAACACGUGGGAACGUGCCUUUAGGUUCGGAAUAACUCAGGGAAACUCGUGCUAAUACCGAAUGUGCCCUUCGGGGGAAAGAUUUAUCGCCUUUAGAGCGGCCCGCGUCUGAUUAGCUAGUUGGUGAGGUAACGGCUCACCAAGGCGACGAUCAGUAGCUGGUCUGAGAGGAUGGCCAGCCACACUGGGACUGAGACACGGCCCAGACUCCUACGGGAGGCAGCAGUGGGGAAUCUUGCGCAAUGGGCGAAAGCCUAACGCAGCCAUGCCGCGUGAAUGAUGAAGGUCUUAGGAUUGUAAAAUUCUUUCACCGGGGACGAUAAUGACGGUACCCGGAGAAGAAGCCCCGGCUAACUUCGUGCCAGCCGCCGCGGUAA
rnacentral:rRNA from 1 species